GUGGAAUUUGUAACAUGGUGGCUCUUUUUUAAUUUUCACGCUAUUUGGGGACCAAAUCGAAUAAUCUAAAAUGCUAAAUUGCUUAGAAAGAAAAGAUCUAUCGAUCUAGAGGUUGUGCCAAUAUGCACUCUAAACCAAGCUAUAAAGGGUUAAUUCAAGCUCCUUGUCUGAAAGUUUCAUCAAAAUCAAACCCACACUUUUCGAGAAAAUCGCCUAACAGUGAAGCAACCUUGGAUUUUCCCCAUACAAAAGAGGGCGGCAAAAAUGAAAUUAGCUACGGCUCCACUCCUAGAGGUUGUGCAAACAUGCACGGUAUCGCAUUCGAAGGGGCAUAAUUUUAGAUAAUUUCUGAAAUAAUUACAGGUUACUCAACUCGGUCUAGCAAGGAUGCGCAGCACGGGUCAAACGCACGAAACUCCCAACACGACGGAGUUGUAAGUUAUCAGCGGAACACACGAUCAAUGCAAGUUAUACGGAACAGCGAUCAGGCGCAGAGUCACAGCACAAUAAAGUGCCGACGCUGCAAGUUUGGGACAGUCGGUCAAGUCUCAAGUGGAACAGCUCAACAAGCGGUAUACUGCUGACAUUGCUGCCUAGACGACCAGUCAACGAACCAGAAGCUACACUAGG